UUGUUUCUUUUUGUUUUUGAGUCAGUUUAGAGGUUUUAGCAAGCCCUCCUAAUCCCCGGUUUAGAACGAUCUCUACUUACAUACUUUGCUACAAUUGUCAAAAGAGGGUUUAAUUUUGUGUGCUUAUAUUAUUCGCAUCAAAUUUUGGCGCCGUUGCCGGGGAUUAGCAACUUUGCUAAAUCCCCAUUGUUUCUUUCUAUUUCUUUUUUGUGUGUUUUAAUUUUAGUUUUAAUUUUAUUUUGUUUAUUUCAGGUACUAGUUUAUGACUCGUAGUUCUCAACCAGUUCGUGCACAUAUAUCGGAGUUUGACGACAAUUUUGAACGAACUUUGAGAAGGAAAAGGAAAGUACCAGAACCUAAUCCACCUAGUUCUAGUUCUGAAUUCGAAUUUGAAGAAAAGGAGGAGGCAGAAAAAGACAUGGAGGUGGACAAUCGAACAA
rnacentral:lncRNA from 1 species